rnacentral:lncRNA from 1 species
UCGAUUGGGCCGGCGCGUGACGUCACGCCGUUUUAGCCAAACAAAUGGGUUUCGGGGCGAGCGUUGGGCUCCGCCGCGCCGCGCUGGGCGCUCGGUCCGCCUCAGCGGUGGGGAGCGAGCCAGGCCUCCCGCCGCCGCCGCCGCCGCCGCCGCAUCGGGGUGUGCAGCCCCGGGCCAGGCCCGGGCCGGGGCAGGAGCGCAGGUUUAACAUUGGUUCACUCUAGUGAAUGCUUGCCAAGUACAAGGCACUGUGCUGCAUGCUCUGUGAGAAACUACAGAAAGGAGUAUGAUUACUCAUACCUUUCAGUUACAGUAUAGUAGGGAGAGGAAGACAAGAUAGACAACGGUAAGUGUCCCAGGGGAGGCAUAUGGUAGCCAUUCCGUAACAUUGAUGGGUGAGGGUGGGGCAGUGGAUGAGACCUGGGCAGGGAGGGGCCCAGCGGGGUGAGCAGUUUCAGUAGUUCUAGUGGGUAAAGAAUGAAAAAGAUGGUGGAAAAAAGGACAAAUGGCCACUGUGAAGGUGAAGGAAAAAUACAAGGAAGAACUAAGGCAGGAGCUGUUAAUUAGAAGCCAUGAGAUUUUCCAAAAAUCUGUGCAGAAUUGUUUUGUGUGCUCUGGCCUUUUUUCUUGGGCAGAGAACUUUGACUUUUUCUGAGAUUCUGAAGUGUCCAGAAUCAAAAAAGAUGGAGAACCACUGCUAACUUAUCAGCCUUUGAUAACAGAAGGUAUUGAGGCUUUGUAGAGAAAUUAAGUCAUGGGGUAGUACAGUAUUUUCUUGGGGGAAAUAGGAUUUGGAGGACCGAGUUUAUGAAAUUGUCUCUGGAGCAGGGGCAGGGAUUGCCUUGUCAAACUGGGUGUCCCCACCCAGCAAAUUUGGUGGAUCCAUUGGUAGAUUGCAUGACAGUGAAGGGUAGGUG